CAUGAAGAUGUGGAGUAUGGAGAAACUCCCUAACGAAGAUGGAACCUUCCAGAAAAACGCCCACCAGUGCUCAAGUGGAAAAGCAACUAUCAAUGUGUAGUUCAGUUCACAAUAUACAGGCUCAAAUCGGCAGCACAGCAGGCCCAUUCAGAGUGAUGAAUGAAACCAGCUCCUGUGUUUGGAAAGCAGGGGUGUUUUCUAUGGAUACUGGAGGACUGUAAUGCAACUUGAAAGCGGCUAAUAUUGUGUGGAGAAAGAUGGACUGUGGGACUGCUGUAGCUGCAACUUACAGACCUCAGUUUGGAGGGAAGUGGAGGAUAGCAACAAGCAUGUAUUGAUUGCUAUGGUCAGGAUUCUACUCUUGAGAAGUGUACGUUAGUCUCACACGGAGAUGGUGUCUGAGCAUAAGCGUAAUUAUGCUAAUGUAAUCUGUUCAGAGUCUGAUGAUGUGAGGCUGGUGGGAGGAGGCAGUCGCUGCGUUGGUAGAGUGGAGUGGUACCAACAGGGAAAGAGGAAUAUGUAGCCUGUAAAAUAUGGCUGGAAAUUGAAGGAUGUCACUGAUUUUUUUGGUGUAGACAGCUGGACUGUGGCUCCACUGUUUCAAGACUACUUGGAAAACACACUGAAGGGUUUGAAGUGUACUGUAAUGGACCUGUGUUAUGGCUGGGUGCUGCUGGUGGAGAAGACAGGUGCAGGAGAGCAGAGAGUUCUGAACAGCACAUUUUAUUUGGCAGAAGAGAAUAACAGUAGGACGCAACUGCAUCAAAAAACCUCCAACCAAAAUAGGCAAAAGUGUAAAUGCUCCAAAAUAGACACAACUAUAUAAAGUUAACAAAGUAACAAUCUUCGUGUAAAGAAUAAACACGGAACAAACCAGCGUAACACAAAACAAUCCUACACAAAGACAUGAUGGGGAACAGAGGAAUAAAUACAUAUGAUGAUUGGGGAAUGAAAACCAGGUGUGCAGGGAACAAGACAAAACAAAUGGAUACAUGAAAAAUGGAGCGGCGAUGGCUAGAGAGCCGGUGACGUCGACCACCGAAUGCCGCCCGAACAAGGAGAGGAGCCGACUUCAGCGGAAGUUGUGACAACCUGAGCCUGCGCUUAGGGACUAUGGAAGAGGCACAGGGCUAACUUUGGUGACUAUAUUAAAGGUGAUCUGCUCAGAUCUCCCCCAUAAGCCUGAUAUCUCCCUGACCAUCUCAAUGGGAGGGGUCUCCAGGGGCCACCAAGGGACUCUAGAGGUGUUCAGGGGCCACAGCUUCACCAUCACCUGCUCCACUCAGCCACAGCACCCGGGUGUCUCCUUCCUCCUCACGUACCCUGACUCCAAAACAACCCAGACCUAGCCAGCUGUCUAUCACUCUGCUGCCUUCCUCUUUCCAUCUGCAGAUGACUCCCACCAAGGGAACUACAGCUGUGUUCAUGAGAUUUAUGUUUUUUUCCCAUGACUUCUCUUCUGAGAGUGAGCUCCUCUCCCUCACUGUCACAGCUUUCUACUGUUGGUGACAGCCAACUCCACCACCAAUCUGUACAUCAAGACCACCAAGAGGUCGAAGUGAGUGGAAGGGGUGAACUUGGAGAAGGUUUCUCUGAAGUCUAGAGCUGUAGUCGGACCAGGAGAGGAGAGAGCAGCCCAGGGUACAGAGUAGGGUGAACUUGGAGAAGGUUUCUCUGAAGUCUAGAGCUGUAGUCGGACCAGGAGAGGAGAGAGCAGCCCAGGGUACAGAGUAGGGUGAACUUGGAGAAGGUUUCUCUGAAGUCUAGAGCUGUAGUCGGACCAGGAGAGGAGAGAGCAGCCCAGGGUACAGAGUAGGGUGAAGUUGACUGAAAAGUCCAAGUGGGGUCCUUGGGAUGUCCAACUCUGAUGUUACCCCAUUGAAAUUGAAAGUUAAAAUGUUUUAAAUGUAGUUGAAAUCUAAAACAUUUAACGUUGUAAAAGGUUAAGAGUUAAGGGUUAAGGAUAAGGUUAGGGUUAUGGUUAUGGUAAGGUUUAGGGUAUCGAUGUCCCAAGGUUUCCGGGUGGCACUAACUGAAGUUGACCGUAGAGACGUUGACCUUAGGUCAGUUUUUUGUUUUCCAGAUAUGAUGCGACUGGUGUGGACUUGAGGGGACUUUAAUCCCCAUCCAAUCAAAUUAAAUGAGUGUUACGUUUCCAUUGGUGUUGCU
ensembl:lncRNA